CGCGCAUUUAAAAUGGCAGACGACACUGCGGAGAAGUUAAUCGCCGAGGUCCAGAAAAAGCCACAACUUUUUGACAAGUCAACCCUUCUUUUCAAAGAUAUAUGGAAAACAAUCGGUCAUAUCCUCGGAAUAAAUGAAACAAGUCCUGCAGAUUUGGAACGACUUGAGGUUGGAGAGUGUCAGAAACACAGAUCAAAGCCAAACGCAGCGGUCCGUGCACCAUAGGAGCUUCACACUUGAUGUUGAAAUUCAAUCUCAAAACCUGGUUAGAAAAUUACUGCACUCACCAAUUUCCCUGCUGGGAAGAGUGUCAUGACUGCUUUAUGCUUAUAUUUAUUUUACAUUGGCCACUGUAGAUUUCGUCCUUAAUUAUAUUCCUCGGGCAGAUGGAUGGUUUCUUGAAAAGAUCUCUGCUGCAUGCUGUGUUAGAAUCGUCCAAUGAUAUGAUAUGGUCAACAUAUAUCAUAAUCAUAUUGAGAGAUGACAUCCAGGGAGGGGCACAGCCUCAGGGUGGAUAGAUGCUUUCAGGGCAACAUAAUAACACAAACAACCUGUUUUUCAGCACCCCUAAUUGCUGUGCUUUAAUUGCAUUAAGCAGAGAAAUAUCAAUAAAUCAAUGGGCAAAUGAACUGGGCAACUAUGAGCAAUGACUGUUUAGUGUUGCUCUGCAUUAUUCUAUUGAUGUUCCACUAACGGCCGUCCUUGAGAUAUUGAAUGCUAUUCAACCCAGGCGCUGACAUCAUAAUAGAAGGCAGCGUUGAGCAGUCUGGCCGUGUGGACAGUCGGCCUCUGCGGCAUGUUUUUCUCACUUGUAGACAUGCUUUUG